AUUGAACGCUGGCGGCAGGCCUAACACAUGCAAGUCGAACGAGUGGCGGACGGGUGAGUAAUGUCUGGGAAACUGCCUGAUGGAGGGGGAUAACGACUGGAAACGGUAGCUAAUACCGCAUACCAUCAGAGGUGCCCAGAUGGGCUUAGCUAGUUGGUGGGGUAACGGCUCACCAAGGCGACGAUCCCUACCUGGUCUGAGAGGAUGACCAUCCACACUGGACCUGAGACACGGGCCAGACGCCUAGGGGAGGCAGCAGUUGGGAAUAGUGCACAAUGGGCGCAAGCCUGAUGCAGCCAUGCCGCGUGUAUGAAGAAGGCUUUCGGGUUUUAAAGUACUUUCAGCGGGGAGGCGUUACCCGCAGAAGAAGCACCGGCUAACUCCGUUCCAGCAGCCGCGGUAAUUC
rnacentral:rRNA from 1 species